rnacentral:lncRNA from 1 species
UCAAAUUAUACACAACAACAAACUUACUGAAUGGUAGAAAAUCACACUUGAGUUUAUAUAAGAAAAAGGAUCUUUUUACAUAAAAAAUUUUCUCUAAUAUUUGAGGAAAAAUUAGAUGUUUAUAGACAAAAUAUGUUUCUUUUGAAAGAAGUAAUGGUUCAUGAUGAGUUGCACUUAUUCAGAUGGUCAACCUGUAUGUGGGAGCAGAUGCCCAUAUGCUCCAACACAUCAUUCAACAGACAACAAUAGAAAGUUUUCACUUGAUUUACAUAGGCAUUUGCUGAUCCAUAUAUGGGAACAAAUGGCCCCAUGAAAUAAUAAAUCUUUCAAUAAAUUUCAAACGAUGAACUGAAGGAUCACGCCCCUUAAAUGCUCAUUGGAAAUGUGUCCAAAUGUUAUUUUACAUCUGUAAAUUGAGAACAAAAUCAUAUCGGAUUUUUGAAUUAAAUUAUAAUUAAACAUUAAGUUUCAAAUGAAUUUUGUCCAAAAAUAUUAUCUUCCCCUCGAUCAUUUGAUAAAUCCAAAUCCAAACUCGAAGCAGAAGCCAAGCCUAGCGAUGAAAACAAUGGCACGAGACGUGUCUUCUUCUUUUCAUACUAAUAACAUGGAAUAAUCCUCUAUAUAUAAGUAUAAGAAUGUUUCUUUCUCCCACCAAUGUUGAAGAACACUUCUUAUUUUAAGUGUAACACAAUUCACUUCUUUCCUCCAUUUGUUUCCUCCAUUUUCCAUUCAUUAUAUCACUAGAACCCAAAAGAUUAUAAAUGAAUUAUAUUGAUGAAAUGUAAUAAAAAUAAAAUAGAGUCUCUGUUCUACUAUAAACAUGGCAAACAAUACACCACUAAAUCUGGAUCCGAAAGAAAAAACAUGGAAUCCAUUAGUAUAUGUUUACCCCAAAAAGGUAUAUUUGAAUAGUGAUAUGACUUAAAGACAUGUUGAUUAAUUUGGUAUUUAAAAUAUAUAAUAAACUAUAAAAUAUAAACAACAUGAGUAAGCUAAAAUCAAUCUAAUAAGUUAUCAAACAAACGUAGAAAAGCAAAACAUGUUUAGCUUGAUUUUGUGGAGUUCUUCAAAUAGAACUUGCACAAUCUAUAAUUCGAGUAAUUAUUACACCUACCUAACCCUCGUGGUAGGUAAGAAAAACAAACAAUAAAUAGUAAGCUACAAAAUGAAUACAAGGAAGAAAAUAAAGGAAAACAUAUCUUAAUAACAAACAUCAUGAAAAUAACUCAAAAAUAUAAAACUCACAAUGUACAAUCCUAUAUGAGUGAUAAGUACAAUAGGAAGUCCAAGAUGUCUUGAAAUGUGGAGAAAAACAUAAAACAACAUAAAAGAGGCCUAUAAGUAAUUGGGACAAAACAUCCACAAUCUCAAAAUCCUUGAAGAAUGAACCACUUAGCAAUCCCUGAAUAUGCGAUCGGGGACCGUCGUCUUAGCACAAACAUAUAAAGUUCUUAAAAAAUAUGCAUGGGUAUUAUUUCAUAAUUAUCAUCAACAUUGUCGACUGAUCCUACUUCAAAGUGAUGGUGAGAAAUACCGAACCUUUCAACUACCUAAAACUAUCCAUAUAAAUCUGAACACAGGAAGGCUAUGCCUAGUCUAGACACCAAUAAAAAUAAUAAUCUAUAUAGUUUCAAUCGAAAAUAAUCAUUAGUCACCACAAAAUAGUAUAAUAAUAUAGAAAUCACUAUCAAGUCAGUCAACCACUUACCACAUCAAGUGAAACAACCAAAUGGAUUUGAUGAGUAUGAUAUAUGUGAUGGAACAAAAUAGUGAUAGUGAAAAUAAUGAGUAGGGUGGAUAUUUGUACUACUUUUAUACACCCAUUGCUCUGUAUAACUAGCUGGAACUUGCAUGCGACUCACAAGGUCUAUAUAUACCUUUUGGAUCCAUCAAAAGACAUGAAGUAAAUAAUCAUACAACUACUUAAUUUAGAUGAAUUGCUAGGGUCACAAAAGUAUCUUAGAAGUCAUGGUGCCUCAAUUGAUCUCUUUCUUAGGAUCCAGUAAAAGACCAUAGAGAAACACAAUUAAUACCAUGAUAAUAUGCACAUGGAGGGAUGACGAAGUAUCAUGAAAUUAAUAAAUACUAGUCUUACACCAUGAAUAUUGGAAAGAGUUAUGAAUAACUUAUCAGGUUAUUCAUAAUAAUAUCGAAUCAUAUUUUUCAUUGUCCCAAAUAUAUGAAACAAUGACACCAAGAAAUCAAUUCUUAUCCAAACAUAGCACAUAAGGAAAAGUAUUACAAACACACACAAACAAUCAGGUUAGUUACUUUUAACCCUUUCAUAAUACAUUCGUACCCACUUAAUUUCUCUUAUCUUAUCAAUACAGGAUACCCACAUCUCUAUUACUUUCAACACAAACAUUUAGCACAUAAACACUUAAAUGAGUCAAAAAGGGUCUCAACUUGUCUUAAAGCAAGUCCAAAAAGUCAAAUUCAUGCUUUAACCUUUCGAAGAUACUAUGAAUGAGGCCAAUCUUAUCAAACAAGUAUUCUAUAUAAGAAAAUGGAAUCAUAGAAACUCAUAUUUCUAUACUUAAAUUUAGGGUCCAAAAAGUCAAUUCACAAGUCAACCCCAAGCCCACAAGGGCAAAACAAGAAUUCUAUUUUGAAAUUAUUUUUCUAUAACUUAUGGAGUCCACAUAUUAAAUGUCAUCUGUAAUGAAAUUAAAAUUGAUUUUCUAAUCAUCAAAAUACUAUUUCAUAACUUUACCCUAAAAUUUUCAAAAGUUCCAAUUGAAAAAUCUAUGUUUGACGAUGAAAUAAUAAAUUAACAAUUAGGAAAUGUGUAAAAAUAAUAUAAGAAUCAUACCCCUACGAAGCAUCCUUACAAAAUACUUUUGAAUCUUUCAAAAUAGAGUUCCCAAGCUUUAUAAACUAGUAAUGAGGUUUUAGUUUGACAAUUUAAUCUGUCUAUGUCAAAAGUGUUCUUUUCAAAUAUGAAAAGUUAAUCAUGGACGUGACUGAACAAGUCCAAAACACAUUGCGAACAAGAUCCAUUCAUCACAAACAUGAUUAGUAGUAUCCCCAAAAUGAACUUGAUUUCCCUUAAGAGAACAUGGUCGAUUUGUUUUGAAAAUGAACUUUAACCCAACCUAAGCCUUUUAAAAUCUAGUACAUGUUUUUGAACAUGAAAAUAAUACCUCAUAAACACUGCAUUAGAAAUUCUAACCUUCCUAAAAGUCCCCAAACAAAGUCUGUAUGUCAAAAUAAUUCUUUGCAAAUACGAAAACACAGAGCGAACAUGAUCCAUACAUCACAAACAUGAUGAAAAAUAUCCCUAAUCUAAACAUGAUUUCCCCUUCAAGAACAUAGUUGAUUUGUUGUGAUGAGAAAUGCUAACCAUACAUAAGACUUUUAAAAUGUGGUACAUCUUUGUGAACGUGAAAAUAACACCUAAUGAAAACUGCAAUAGCAAUUCUAACCUUUCCAAAGUUCCCAAACAGUGUCUAGAACUUUUUCAGAACCCUGUAAACCUAAAUUGACAUUCUAAACUCAUUGAAAUCAUCAGAUUGCCAUGUUGACAUUGUUAUCAAUGAAUUUUUUCCAUAGUCAAUCCUAUGCCAUAAACUUUCAUCUUUUCAACCAACAACUCAAAAUAUAUUCAAACACCUAGAACCCAAAAUAAAGGUCCUACUAAUCCCAUAAUGACAUUUCAAAGCUAAUAGAUACUGUAAUUCCCAUACAUCCUUGAUACUACCAAAUGUUGAUCCAAGUAUACUAUUCUAUCUUUGAAUCUUUACUAUCACGGCCUAAGUCCAAUCAUGAAUCCUACCCACACUUACACUCAGAUGGGAGAACUAUCUAACCCAAAUAACCACUAUCUACACUUAGCAUAUUUAAUGCUAAAGAAAGCAAUUUCAUAUUGAUAACUAAUAUAGAAAAUAGUUCAAAAUCCAAAUAGUGUAGAAUAAUAUCAGAAUUCUAAAACAUAUCCAUAAAUGGUAAGCA